UCCACAGUAGCUCAAUGGCAGAGCAAUCGGCUGUUAACCGAUGGGUUCUAGGUUCGAGUCCUAGCUGUGGAG
rnacentral:tRNA from 1 species